rnacentral:rRNA from 1 species
UACGUAGGGUGCAAGCGUUGUCCGGAAUUAUUGGGCGUAAAGCGCUCGUAGGCGGUUUGUCGCGUCGGCUGUGAAAACUCGGGGCUCAACCCCGAGCCUGCAGUCGAUACGGGCAGACUAGAGUGCGGUAGGGGAGACUGGAAUUCCUGGUGUAGCGGUGAAAUGCGCAGAUAUCAGGAGGAACACCGGUGGCGAAGGCGGGUCUCUGGGCCGUAACUGACGCUGAGGCGCGAAAGCUAGGGGAGCAAACAGG